GAUGAACGCUGGCGGCGUGCCUAAUACAUGCAAGUCGAGCGAACAGACGAGGAGCUUGCUCCUCUGACGUUAGCGGCGGACGGGUGAGUAACACGUGGAUAACCUACCUAUAAGACUGGGAUAACUUCGGGAAACCGGAGCUAAUACCGGAUAAUAUAUUGAACCGCAUGGUUCAAUAGUGAAAGACGGUUUUGCUGUCACUUAUAGAUGGAUCCGCGCCGCAUUAGCUAGUUGGUAAGGUAACGGCUUACCAAGGCAACGAUGCGUAGCCGACAUGAGAGGGUGAUCGGCCACACUGGAACUGAGACACGGUACAGACUCCCACGGGAGGCAGCCGUAGGGAAUCUUCCGCAAUGGGCGAAAGCUUGACGGAGCAACGCCGCGUGAGUGAUGAAGGUCUUCGGAUCGUAAAACUCUGUUAUUAGGGAAGAACAAAUGUGUAAGUAACUAUGCACGUCUUGACGGUACCUAAUCAGAAAGCCACGGCUAAAUAAGUG
rnacentral:rRNA from 1 species